rnacentral:rRNA from 1 species
ACAAUGAAGUGAAGGCAAUAACAGGUCUGUGAUGCCCUUAGAUGUUCUGGGCUGCACGCGUGCUACAAUGGAACUCGCACCGAGUCGCGAAACUGAGAAGUUAAGCGAAUCUUGGAAAGUGUUCCGUGACCGGGACAGUUGAUUGCAAUUAUUCAACUCGAACGAGGAAUUCCUUGUAAUCGUGAUUCAUCAUAUCGCGAUGAAUACGUCCCUGCCCUUUGUACACACCGCCCGUCGCUCCUACCGAUUGGGUGAUCCGGUGAAUUACUUGGAACAGCCACGAUGUCCUAUGGAUUUCGCGGUCGUGAAAUGUUGUGAACCUUAUCAUCUAGAGGAAGGAAAAGUCGUAACAAGGUUUCCGUAGGUGAACCUGCAGAAGGAUCAA